rnacentral:rRNA from 1 species
GAUGAACGCUGGCGGCGUGCCUAAUACAUGCAAGUCGAGCGAACGGACGAGAAGCUUGCUUCUCUGAUGUUAGCGGCGGACGGGUGAGUAACACGUGGAUAACCUACCUAUAAGACUGGGAUAACUUCGGGAAACCGGAGCUAAUACCGGAUGAUAUUUUGAACCGCAUGGUUCAAAAGUGAAAGACGGUCUUGCUGUCACUUAUAGAUGGAUCCGCGCUGCAUUAGCUAGUUGGUAAGGUAACGGCUUACCAAGGCAACGAUGCAUAGCCGACCUGAGAGGGUGAUCGGCCACACUGGAACUGAGACACGGUCCAGACUCCUACGGGAGGCAGCAGCAGGGAAUCUUCCGCAAUGGGCGAAAGCCUGACGGAGCAACGCCGCGUGAGUGAUGAAGGUCUUCGGAUCGUAAAACUCUGUUAUUAGGGAAGAACAUAUGUGUAAGUAACUGUGCACAUCUUGACGGUACCUAAUCAGAAAGCCACGGCUAACUACAUG